GCACUGCCGAGGAGUCCCACAAUAGAACGAAACGGUCGUGCAGUGC
rfam:Schistosoma margrebowiei strain Zambia genome assembly, scaffold: SMRZ_scaffold0000420